rnacentral:rRNA from 1 species
GAUGAACGCUGGCGGCGUGCCUAAUACAUGCCAGUCGAGCGAACAGACCAGGAGCUUGCUCCUCUGUCGUUAGCGGCGGACGUGUGAGUAACACGUGUAUAACCUACCUAUAAGACUGAGAUCACUUCGGGAAACCGGCGCUAAUACCGGAUAAUCUAUUGAACCGCAUUGUUCAAUAGUGAAAUUCGGCUUUUCUGUAUCUUAUCGCUGGUUCCGCGCCGCAUUAGAUAGUUGGUAAGGUAACGGCUUAUCAAGGCAACCAUGCGUAGCCGACCGGAGAGGGUGAUAGGCCACAUGGGAAGUGAACCAGGGUCAAGACUACUAAGGGAGGGAGCAGACGGGAACGUUACGCAAUGGGCGAAAGUAUGACGGAGCAAGGGAGCGUGAGAGAUGAAGGUAUUCGGAGCGGAAUACUCUGUUAUGAGGGAAGAACAAAUGUGUAAGGAACUAUGCAGGGAUUGACGGUAACUAGUAAGAAAGCAACGGCUAACUACGUG